AAUGAAUAUCUCUGCUAAGGAAUACUAAGGCAAAUGGAUAAAAAACCUUCAGUCCAUGCAUUGGUAUGUAAUUGUUGACAAAAAUACAAUGAAUGGCCUCACUACUUUUCCACAUGCAAAGAGGUUAACCAAGGAGAAAUUAAAGAAAUUGUCAAAAACCUAGGUAAAUACAGAAUUGCUUAGUACAAACAUAUCUAUACCCAGUACAAGUUCGUCCACUUCUUUGAAGCAUGGUACUUCAAACAGAGACACUGUCAACAAUUUUGUAGAAGGUGAGCCGGUGUCAAAUUCCAGUAAGGGACAUGAUUUCAAUUUUGCACCAACAGCAGAGCUAAAAUUCAUUUUGUCGCAAAAAACUGGAGGAUGUGAAAGAAAAAAGUGCAGAAGUUAAAAUUAAGUUUUUCAUAUGAGCACAUAAAAAAUAAUCAUGACAAAGUUCAGUUGUAUACAGGUUUGACAUGUAAUAAAUAUUUUUGUAAUCUUAUUAAGUUAAUUAGUUUUAUAUAUUAUUUAAAUAAUAAUUGUAUACUUCACAUAGAAUAUGCAGAAAUUAUAUGUACAUAUAUAAAUUUUUUUAUUAAGAUAAGGACAACAUGUAUUAAAGCAUAACACAUAAUAUAAACACACACGUAAUAUCUUCAUUAAAAAUUAUGAUUGUAUGUUAUGUAGCAUUAGAGCCUAAAAACAUUAAGGAGAAUAAAGGUCGUUAUUGGCAAA